UUCAUCAUGUGUAUUGUGAACCAUUUCAUAUGUCAUCAAUGAACCAAUUAGUUCUUCAAGUGGAAAAAUAUUUAAAUCUUUUGUUUCUUGUAUUGCGGUUAUUUUAGGAUCCCACCUUUUUGGAAGGGAUCUUAAGAUCUUGCUCACGAGAUCAAAAUUCAAAAAAGAUUUACCAAGAACACUUAGAUUAUUGACGACAUCCGUGAAACGGGUGUACAUGUCGCCUAUAGUCUCGCUUGGUUGCAUUCGAAAAAGCUCAAAAUCAUGCAAUAAAAUGUUAACUUUCGAGUCUUUGACUCUAUUAGUUCCCUC
rnacentral:lncRNA from 1 species